CAGCUUGCAACUUGGCCGACGAUCCCUUCCCGGCACGAGGUUGGAGAAGACGGAGUGGGCAGCGGUGCUGAAGCAGCAGUGACGCAGCAACAUGGGCGAGUCACGGGUGGCAGCACGAGAGGGCCGCCGCGCGGCGGACCAAGCCGUCGGCAGGAGGGCCGCGUCUAGAACCUCCGCACCCCGCGGAACGAAGCAGGGGGCCAUCGACCUGGAGCUCGAUGCACCGCCGCCGCCGGUGGCGGGUGGCAGGAGGGCGACGGAGCUGGCCAUGACGCUGCUAGCGGAGCUUAUAUAGAUAUAUUUUCCUGACUACUUCUUUUCUUUCGUUUUCUUGUGAUGAUAGACCAGUGCUAGUAAAUUUCUCCAUAUUCUUGCCACAUUUCUCAUCAAAAUAAAUAGCUCCAAAUUGAAGACCAGAUGACAUUAGAGAAUUACCCGCUGCUAUAUUUGAAUUAUUUUGUCCAGCCAUGGGCUCAUCACCGCGCCCCAGGAAGGGCGUCGUCGUGGUGGUGCGGCGGCUGCUGCGUCGUGGCCCGCGGACUGAAGUUGUGGCCGGCGCUACGAAACGGGUGGGCAGCAAGAAGGCCUCUGCACGCCGGAGCAGGGGCAGGCAGGAGGGCCGCUGCUCGCCGGAGCAAGAGGGAGCAAAGCGCGAAUCGGAAGCCGUAGUUAUGGGGGUAAUUUGGUCAUUUCCCAUUCUUUUUCAGUUAAUCUGAAUAAAGAAUAGACUCUAGUGUCCUGCAGCAAAUUGGAAUGGUUGAAGAGUGUCUCUCAGCAAAGGCAUAGUUUUUUAGUGGUUUGAAGCAAAAGUCAACAUUAAAGGAUGUCCUACAGCCAAUUUUCCCAAACUCUGACGGCGAUAUGAAAUAGGUGCAGGUGGAUGGGGAUUUAUCAUUCGUGAUGAGGAUAGAGGUGUGAUAAGCUCUGGCAGGGGUAGGUUGGAUCAAGAACCCUUGAAUGCCUAUGCAGCUCCGUCGGUUCAUUUAAAAAGUCACGAUCCCCUUUUUCCGCGGCUUCCAAGUUCCAAAUACCCGCCGUCACGGCAACUGGCGGCGGCGGCGGCGCUUGCACCCUGGGAUAGCUGCGACGGUCGGCGGUGCGUGGCAGAGAGCUUCCAUUUGCUCCAAGCAGCACGCGCUCCAUGCGGGAGCUACGGUUCUGCGACUAGUGCCAGGUGGGUGUCUGGCAAUUGAGUUGCUUGGAAGGUCGAAAUCAUUGGAGCUGGAAUAUGUGGGCCAUCUCGUGCGUAAAUAAAACAGUUACUUUCGUGUACGCCUUAUGAUCUUGUUCAGUCAGUACAGUACAUAGUCAAGAAAGAGAACUUAAAACUAUGAGUCCACAAAAAGAAUAACCAGGAUAAUAUUUUGAUCUGGAUACCAAAACCAACUUUAUCUAGACUAAAUUUUCACAAAUUGGCACCGUAUCUGAUAAAGUUAAAAUCUUCAUCUCGAAAGCUUCCACAUAAAUUGAUUUCAGAAAAAAGAAUAGUAGUGACAGCAACCCUGAUGAACCAGUGCCAAGUGUUGCUUGCAUUAUCCUGAACCUGCACUAAGAAAUUUGAUAUUUCAAUCUUCAGACAGUAGACUGAGAUUUCGGUAGGCCACCAACCUUUGCAUGCUACCAUUGACCCAUCCAGCUACCGAAAACUUUGACCGAGGAAAAUAUAUUCAUCUGCAGAACUUUCCAUGACUCUGAUACAGCCAUGAUGUAAACGCACACCCCGCCUUCCAUAUGAAGCUAUGAAAGCACAUAAUUAUUCGGUUCCUUUUCUGUCAUCCAAUUGCAAAUAUACCCAUACAAGCAACCUCCCUGAAGACAGUCAGCACCCUUCAGUUUGCAUUCUCCCUAGAGCUGAUGGCACUUAAUAACAACUCCCCCAUUCAGUUGGCCCCUUCAUCAGUCAGCAAUUCUCCAGCCACACCGGCCAUUACACCUCCAGCCACUCCAGGCAGCAGCGAUCCUCCGGCUACUCCUGGUCCUGGAGCAGGAGAUGAUCCUCCGGCCGUUCAACCCGUCGCACCGGCUGUUCCAGAUCCAGAUAGUGAGAACCGUCAUGACCCUAAAGCAUUUAUUCGUGACCCAUGAUGUUGUCAGCGGCAUCGCAUACCUUGCGCGAGUGUCCAAGAAGAUUUUUGCCCAGGCGCAUGAGUGGCGGCCUAGUCUUAGGAUUGGCAAUAAUUAAUGUGUCGGUUUAUGUCAGACCUUUUUGUAUCAGGCUGUGUGCUCCUAGAGCAGAGGUCGGGAAAAUCUCAAGACGUAUCACACUAUCACCUUGAUGUAUCCCUCUUGAAAUCAAUAAAGCUUCCCCUUUCCAAAAAAAAAAAAUUGUUGUGAGCUGAGCUAGAAUCAUGACCAGUCUUAGGGUCCAGUAAC